UUUGCCCAUCAACUGGCAUUGCUAUUUAUUUUUUCUUUGUCUGGUAUUAAAUGACUUAAUAAUUGUACUGGUCUAGCUACUAUACUUGACACAAGUGGGAAUAUACUUUUCAGUGGCUGGUGGGAUUUUUACUUAAUGUUACUUUUACAUUACCUAGCAUAGUAAAUGCCAUUGGUUAUGGGAAAAUAUACGCAGACAUUUGAGUUCUGUUCCAGCGAUCAAGCUACAAAGCCAGCCCUUUUAAAAUCCAUCUUUGUGUAAUUUAGAAAUAGCCACAAACUGUAAAAGGCUUAGCUUGAAAUCAGAAUAAAUGCCAAGACAGCAGGGGUUUUGUUUGCUUGAUCCCUGGAAUCUUGUUAAUUUUGAAUGCAUGUUUUUCACUUAAUUAGGUCAUGUUUUUCUAAAAUUUAAAUUUUUCUUCUUCCUAUAGCCCUGCCAUAGGACAGGCUGAGGCAGAGUCUCAGUGUUGCCCUGUUCAGUCUGAGGCAAGUGGGAUUUAUUUUAUUCAUUCUGGGGGCUUUCACAGCGUUAUGGCUGUUGGAUAUCCAUGUCCCCAAACUUGCAGCAAGUUUGGUGAAGGCCCCUAAAUUUAACUUAACUUAGGAUUUUUGUAAUCUUUUGGUAGAUGGGCUCUAUAUUAAUACUCAUAUUUUUGACUGUGGUGUCUUUUUAAAAGUUGGGGGGAGGGAAAUAUGUUUUAAAAUGUUUGGUAUUUUUGAUACUGAUGGAAGUUUCUGUCUGUUAAAUGGCCAAUCACUGAAAUCUUUAAGCCACUGCCACUGUAUUCUGAAUUUUAUUUGUGCUGUUUAGGUUGGCUGCCUUCUAAAACUGGAACUGCAUGUAGCUUUUGAACUUAGAGUGUAAACCUGAUUUUAGCUAUGGGAAAUUAUGUUAGUGUUGUUUAAAAUCCAGAAGUUUCAUUUUAAGACUUUCCUGCUUCUAUUGAAGUUCUUUUAUAAAAUAAUCCAUUAUUGAGAACAUAAAAUAAGCGGUAUUUGUGCAACCGUAAUCAUUUAAUACUGUGCCCUUAAAAGGGAGGAUAUUAUGGUGAUGGGGUGAUGUAUUGCAUUUGCAAGUUACACCACAAAUAUUAAUGUAGAGCCCUCUGGAGAAGAAAUGCAGGUUUGAGUUGGUAAAAUAGAAAAAAGGGGGGGGGGGCGGAAUGAAAAAUUGAAGCAAUAAAUUCUGCAGAAGUGUCAGUUUGACAGAUGACUACAUUAAACUUCUUAAAUUUCUGCUGUAUAGCAACAGUACAUUCUAAAGUUUUGGCAUUCAGUGACAAUUUGGAGGGAUUUUGCAUUGUAACAUGAACAUGUUGAAUACUUAUUACUGGGAAAUCUUUUACCAGCAACAUUGCUGGUAGGACUUUAGUGUUCCUCUAAGAAAAUGAGGAUUGUAACUUCUGAAAUACUUGCUAACAUUUUUAAAGUACUGUUUGAGUAAACCUCCUGACCCCUUAGUUUUCUUUGGCAAAUAUUUGGUCUAGACAACAGAGGCUUAUGCAGACAACCUCAGUCUCAAAAGAAUAUGCUUUGUGUCUAUGUGGGCUUGAUGUUGGGAGCUGUUUUUUUUUCACAAUUUGUAACUUGAAAGUCAUUUGUUUUCCUAAUUUAAUUUAAUUUGACACUUUCUCAAACUUGUCAUCUGAAGUACGGUGAGCCAUAAAUAGUUUUUUUUUAUUUCUCAAAUGAUUUUCCUUUUUAUAGCAGACCAUAAACUUGUAGCUUACAGCAAGCGAGUGUUGCUCACUCUCUUUUUACUACACGGGUGAAAAUUGCCUUGAAGAGUGUGACUUGGUCCUUCUGCCAUGUUCUCUUCCAGCUUUAACAACCUGCCCCCUCCAGCUCACCACCUGACCCCAUUCUGGGUUUCUGAUCCUUCUGAUCUACUCCUGUUUUAAUGAUGAAAGUCAACAUCUGCUCCGAUUUUAUUAAUUCCCCCUCAUGAUUGAGCAGUGUAUUUUUCCUUCCUAAUUCUUUUGCAUUGUUACCAUGGGUACCAGUGAAGAUACUGUACUACAGAAAUUCGUAUUUCGAACAAGCUGGGUUGGUUCUGUUCUGUCUCCAUAUGUGCAUAUAACAAGUUUGUAAACCUCCUUUUUCCAGAAGAGAUCUGAAUAAAGGUUGUAUGUAUUGCUUCAUCUUUAAAGACUCAAUGAGUGAAAAAAUAAACAAGCAUUGGGUGUUUCAUAUUAAAAAUCACUGACUGUCACCUCUUACCAUUUAAGAGACUGGUACAGUUCUGUAAAUAGUUCUUUCAUUCAGAGGUUGAUGUUGUUGUUGUUAUUAUUAUCAUUUAUUAUUUUGGUUAAGUCUGUAUGUAUAUUUUGAACUAGAUGUGUAUAAAGGUAGAGUUUGGCUACUGUUUACACUCUACCUUUUCCAGAGAAUAUGUCCUCGAAAUGGGUAUCCUGACUUUAGCCACACACAAGUUACGUUCAGUAAAUCCACUUUGUGGCAGUUGAUUUGAAUAGAAAGUUAAAAACUUUUCCAGCUGCUUUAAUGUCUGAUAUUUUUUUUGACCCAUGGGAAAUGACUUGCACUUCAUGUUUCUCUUGUACUAGUCUCUUUGUCUAGUACCCAUUCAUAGCUCUCAGCUUCCCCAGAUCAAGCUAGGGAUAUUUUUCUUUUCCUUGCAAGUGUGAAGCUUUUCAGUGUCCCUCCUGUGUGUGGAUCUAAGGAGGAUACUUCCAGAAAAAUUUCAACUGUAAACAUUUUCCUACUUCAAAGUAUAACAGUAUGUGUGUGUUUUACUAAUACGGUACAGUGUGCCCUUACUAAACCAGCAAUCCAUGUAGUAGAUUUACUGAAGACUAUGGCAACUCAUGAAUAAGCUCUGCUGAAAUGCUUAACUGCUAGAUCAGAUGAAUUUGCACACCACUCUUCACAUGCAAAGUAAAUGAAAGGCAUGGUAAAUUAAAUACAGCAUAUACUAUCCAUUAAGUUCUUGGCUGCCUUAGAAUGUUGUUUAACUAGUUUCACAGAAUAUUUGCGUGUAGCAAAUAUCAAAUGCUGUCUGAGAAACAAUGAAAAUACUUAAUAGCAGUGCCUGCCUCAGAUAAGUUUACCAGAGGUUUUUAUGUAUAAUGACUAGGAUUGUUCUGUAGCCAUCUGGAAAAAUGCAGUUAAGUGGGUAAAAGGCCUCUUUUGCAUAAAUAUGGAUAGGGUGACCAUACCUCCCGGUUUGGCCAGGAUACUCCUGGAUUCCAUAUCCCUGUCCCAGCCAGUUGAUCAGAAGUCCUGGGCUGGAGUAUAGCAGGGAGGGGAGGGGGAGCAGCAUGGUGCAGUAGGCAGGCACUGCUGCUCCUGCGCAGGAGCAGAGACUUGUCAGUUGUGGGCAGGGUGCGUCUGCUCACCUUCCUCUUGCACAGGAGCAACAGUGCCUGCCUGGUGCACCAUGCUGGUCCACCUUCCUGCCAGACUCUGGCCUGGGACUUCAGACCAACCAGUUGGGAUGGGGCUAUAGAAUCCUGGAGUGUCCCAGCUGAACCAGGACUUAUGGUUACCUAGUUAUGGACCAUCUCUCUACUUACAGUAAAAACUGGUGCAGAUAUUGAUACUAAUUGGGAGUGAGGAAAAUAUUGAGGGAUUGCUGUUAUAGGGGACAAGGCAGAAAGACAGUGUUUGAAUAUGUUGUAUUAAUUAUAUGAGGAUAGACUUUUGAUGGAGUUGUGGAAGAGGCACUUCAUUAUCUGAAUAUUUUUGUAAAAUACACUACACAAAUGACAGCUUUCUGCUCUAGUUACUCAAUUGCAGUAGAGAGUAAGAAUUAUUAAUAGCUAGAGCAGCUAUACUAGCAUCCUGUUUCUGCUAGCAUGACUUUUAGCAACAAAGCUGCCUUUAAACUGCAGUCCCAGUGACAUUGGAAUCAUUAGCACCUCUCUGUUUGAAAGCCCAUCUUUACAUCUUUAAUCCCUAACAUCUUGCUUAGGUAGGGCACAUCUUAUUAUCCCUGGGUUUAAUUCCAGUUUCUAGGAUGUCCUUUUCAAACAUCUUCGUCAUUUUAACCAGUAUAGACUUGCAGAUUCCAAUACAGCUGACAGUUCACAAUACUGUAUCACAUCACUCAGCUCCAUGCCAUCUACUUUUUAAUAGGCAUUGAACUAUUUAGAAUAGGGAGUUUUUACUGGUCCUUGUUUGGCCAGAUGGAGAUAGGAGAAAGCAUGGCUAUCUAAGUAGCUGGCCAUAGACUGCAUGUGCCCUGCAAGGGUUAAGUUGCAACCCCUGGACUGUUGCCCAGUCACUGAUUCCCCUACCAGUCUGACUGCAGUAGCUGGAGUCUCCAAAAUCCCCCUCCUAGCUUCUUCCUGUCUCCAGGGGGCUGUGUGGCUGGGGCUACCUGGGUGCAUGGUAUAACCUACAGGGCAUCAGGCCCCCUGCCACUUAAAAGUGGGAGAGCCAGGAGGUAAAGCAUGAGUGUAAUGGAGAAGAAGUUGAAUUGGAUUGCUUCUGUGACUUCCACAUUUCAAGUUCCCUGGAAAAUACUCUUGAGUCAGUUAGCUUAAGCUUAAAAUCAUGUUCCUAAACUACCAAGCACCUAACUCAACUAUAUCUAGUAGCAUGUUAACUUGAAGGCUACAGUAAUUUGCCACUUAUCUGAAAGUUUGCAUACCAGCCUUUUGGUUACUUCUUCACUUGCCCAAACAGAAAUAAUCCAUUUUAAGCACACUGUUUUACAGUAACAACUUCACUUAUGUCAGGGUUUGUCUUAUCUAGGAUUUAAAAACAAAUAGAUUAUGUCAAUGGCAUAAUUUUAUGGGAUCAUUUUAAUAUGCAAAUAAAACCAUUUUAUGGGGCUAUAAAAUACUUUUUUUCUCUUGUCUCUUCAACAGAAGGGAGAAACAGAGGUAUUUUAAAAGGAGAGAAUACAGGGUUUGCUAGAGUCAGUUUGAAGUACAUCAAGUCCAAGCAUAUCUGCCCAGGAUUUUCCUCCCUUUUUUGGCCAAAUUGAGUAACUUCUAACCAUAUUUUAAUGGUCAUAUUUUUACUGUUGUCCCCUACCAUAGCUAACAGAUAUGUAUUUACCAGUCCUAACUGUAACUUCUUGGUUUUGGAUGUUGGAGUUUUCACCACACUUAAGAGCAACCUAUGUUCACUCAAAGGAAUAUAUUCACUUUGUUGUGACUUGCAAUGUCCUACAACAUUUCAAGGGUUAAAGGCACUUUCGCUUCUGUUGCCUCAUUGAAGCACAUGUACUCUUUGGGUGCUGAAUUCUGAAACUCCCCUUAAAUUCUGGUGGGGGCAAAUGUAGUCUGCAUCUUUUAGAUUAAAUGUAUAACUUGCAUAAGUAAAUUAUACAGAUUCCCCACCUACUCCACAAAGUGCUCUUUAAGAGGGUUACUCUUGCAGCACGCAUUACUUGUUUCCUGAGAUUUACCCUAAUAGAUGUCUGGGAUGUGGGGUAGAAAAACAUAUGAAAUUCAAGACAAAAUCAAAGUAAUAUUAGCUGCCUUUACUUGAAGCUUACAAUUUUUAAGGGGCAGAUUGCAACAAUUGAGGCUUGACAAUUUUUUUUUAAUGAAAAACUUUAAAUUAUGGAUUAAACUCCUUGGUUUAAUAAAAUUUGUGUUUUUGUUAACUAGCAGCAGAAUUUCAGCAUUUGGUUCUUACUGGUAGAGAAGAAAAAUCCUACAGCACUGCCAGUACAGGUUAGUUUAAUCUGUAAGUACCUGAUGUUCCUAUUUGAAAUACUUUGUUCAAAUAAUACUCUUUGAAUACAUGAAGAGAGAGUUUUUUUUAAUUUAUUUGAAUGUGAUGCAUCAGUCUGUCAUGUAGGGUGUAUCUACUGCUGUCUUCAGUAGUGAACAAACUUGUAGAACUCGGCUUUUGUUUUGUGGAUUUUUUUUAAUCACAUGCAAUGAUUCAGACCAAAGGUUAAGGGUCACAACUUCCUGUAAGAACCUAUUUAAGGGAAAUAAUAAAUUACAGCGUGCUAAACAGCCAUUUUAUCAGCCUUGAAAAAGGUAAUGGAUGCUUAAGUUUGGAAUCAGGGUCAGUUCUUGAAUAACUUGCUUAUUUCAAAAAGGGAGGCCAUUUUAUCGCUAAUAGGAUUUAAUGUUCUCUCUUUUAUGUUUAGAAAAUGGGUAUUCCUGCUGGUAACAAAAUAGCAGCAGUAAUUUAACCUUGCCUUAAAUCUUUUUGUGGAUGACAACUUUUCAAGGGACUUUAUAUGCACCUUCCAGACUUAGUGCUUUAUUGCAUCUUUAAUGCAGUCAGCCCUAUAGCAUUGAACUUGCUGUUUUCCGAAAUCCAUCCCAGCCCUUUUCAACACAUUAGAGGUCCUACAGAGUUCCCUGUGAAGAUUAAUUUAGGCCAGUCCAAAAUUAUUGCCUUUCCUUUCCUUUCUUUGCUUUUUUCCCCUUCAGUUUUCAUACCAUGUUUUAUUUGUUUACAUUUUUAAACAGGUAGUACUUUGGAUUUUUAGUUUAUUGUAUGGUGUGUCCUGAGCAUCUCAAGUUUCAGGAAGUAAAAUUUGGAUCUGUACGCACAUGAAUUAAAAAUAAAUAAAAUCUAGCUCAGGUAUUCAGUUGUAUAAUAUUAACCGAAUCACCUACAUGAAAUAAAUAUUGUUUAAUCUUUACAGAACAGGUCUGCAAGUCAAGAAGUGAGCCUUACUUCCUGUUAUGAAUUAUGUAUUAUACUAAUAUACAAUGUGUUAACCUUUCUAUGCUGUAUCUGAGAGGGCAUAAAGCUUAGAAACAAUAGAUGGGCCUUUUCAGAUCUUUGGAUUGAAAGUGAGAUAAAAGCACAAAAUAAAAAUAUUAAGGACACCAAUAGAUGGUAUGGCAAUUGGAGAAAAAUAACUCAUUUAAAUAAGCGCAGCAAACUAAUGGUCAGUGUGGUAGCGAUGGUUGCAGUAACUGUAAUUCCAUAUUUGAAUUGUUCAUCUUUCAAAACUGCAUUUUCAAUCAUGUUAAUUAUUUGUAUGGAUAAAAGACUACUGGGGGGAGGGGGAAUGUCGUAGUGUUAGUGCACAUUCCCCUCGACUUUUUUUUAAGUCUUCAGCCAUUUCAUAUGUAAGUGUAUGCCU